rnacentral:ncRNA from 1 species
UCAACGGGGUGCCGAAUUUAUUUAGGCUGAGAAAUAACCCGUAGAACCUGAUCCGGUUAAUACCGGCGUAGGGAUUUG